rnacentral:rRNA from 1 species
GGCCACUUCGGUGGUACUCGAGCGGCGAACGGGUGAGUAACACGUGAGUAAUCUGCCCUUGGCUUCGGGAUAGCCACCGGAAACGGUGAUUAAUACCGGAUAUGACCGUCUGCCGCAUGGUGGGUGGUGGAAAGUUUUUUCGGCCAGGGAUGUGCUCGCGGCCUAUCAGCUUGAUGGUGAGGUAAUGGCUCACCAUGGCUUCGACGGGUAGCCGGCCUGAGAGGGUGACCGGUCACACUGGGACUGAGACACGGCCCAGACUCCUACGGGAGGCAGCAGUGGGGAAUAUUGGACAAUGGGCGGAAGCCUGAUCCAGCAACGCCGCGUGAGGGAUGACGGCCUUCGGGUUGUAAACCUCUUUCAGCAGGGACGAAGCGCAAGUGACGGUACCUGCAGAAGAAGCACCGGCCAACUACGUGCCAGCAGCCGCGGUAAUACGUAGGGUGCGAGCGUUGUCCGGAAUUAUUGGGCGUAAAGGGCUCGUAGGCGGUUUGUCGCGUCGGGAGUGAAAACCAGGUGCUUAACACCUGGCUUGCUUUCGAUACGGGCAGACUAGAGGUAUUCAGGGGAGAACGGAAUUCCUGGUGUAGCGGUGAAAUGCGCAGAUAUCAGGAGGAACACCGGUGGCGAAGGCGGUUCUCUGGGAAUGACCUGACGCUGAGGAGCGAAAGUGUGGGGAGCGAACAGGAUUAGAUACCCUGGUAGUCCACACCGUAAACGUUGGGCGCUAGGUGUGGGGUCCAUUCCACGGAUUCCGUGCC